rnacentral:lncRNA from 1 species
UGUGUUUGCCUCAGGGUUGAGAUCUUUUAAAUGUGCAGUCGGCUUUAACAAUGAUCAUAAAGUUUCUCUACUCAGUUACAUCUCAAGUAUUCCAGUGGCUGAAUGUUAUUUAUAUUUAGAACAUUCUAGAACUUUCUUUCACAUUUCCCAUUCAUUACAGAGUCUGCUGGCUCCUUUAUGUACGGUAUUUCUCCCAUCAGUUUUUACAAGUAGUUCAGAAGAAAAGCUCUAUCACGGUAGCCAGUAUAAAAGACCAUUGCUUGGAAGCCAUCUGCCACUGGCCAGUUCCCACAGAGCAGGGAUAGAGACUAGUUAAAUAUGCAAAUACCUGUGAUUGAACCCUUUGACCCUGUCUCACAUAGUAAGGGGGCAUUGCAAGUAGGUUUCAGGUAAGGAUUUAGAGCCAAGAGAGUACCUAAGAGUCUCCACUUGAGUCCUGUGCAGUCACCAAUGUCCUUCUUAGAGGGAGACACAAAAUUCAGAGUUUCAGAGGGUGGAGUGGCUGCAGAAGCCAAAAUGGAGAAGGAAAUAUUUGAGAAUGGUACACUAUUGACUUUGAAGAUGAAGAAAGGUGACACAAGCCAAGAAGGACAUCAGCCUCCAAGAGUUUCAGAAGUGACAGUCCCAGGACCCACAUGUUGUCCUCUCACUUCUCUAUGUGUGUAGUGAUGUGCCUCUCCUAUGAAAUAACAAAUUAAAAUGUAAUAAGGAUACCUCAACUAUCUACAGUGCUCUCUCAGACAUGGUCCCUCUGAGAACUGUGGUAACGUUUCCCCUGCACUGGCCCUUGUCUGUCCCUUGUGAGUCCUGUGGUGAGUCACAGCCACAGGUUAGCCCACUUGCACUGCACCAGGCCCUCAGGUGAGGAUUUGCCAGCUGACAGUUGCCCCAUGCUGGUGAGCAUGGUCAGCUGAAAUCCGAACCCACACCAUACACAGAGUAAUGCAGUUCUCAGGAAAUGGAUGAUUUAUUUAUUUUCAGCCUAAAGUUUAAACACUUUAAUGUACCUCCCAAGAUGUUUACCUGGCUCAGAAAAGUGCAAGGAACCCACAGAGCACUCAAGAGCCAACUGCCUCUGGGACCCACCUGCAGGGAGCUAGCCUCCUGCAGGGAGCCAGCCUGCUCCCCCCAGUGCUGAAGGAAUGACAGAGAAAAUGAAAGCUAGGGAAAAUGGCAUCAGAAUUAUCCUUGGGGAUGGCUUUGGGGCGGUUACCCCAGAUGCCGGUGGGUGAGUGCGAAGGGCAGGUGCUUACACUUGCUGGGGAUGGGGAAAAGGAAAACCCGGUUCAAAUUUGCUAAAGUGUUGGCGGCACACGCUGUCUGAGGCUUUGUUUUAGUAAGAGUCACUAGUCAUAAAUAAAUAGGUUACUGCUGGAAAAUCAGUGCCUUCUUUAUUUGUUUAAGUGUUGAUGUUUUCAAGGUUGGGUUGGAAAGUCUGAUAUCACUUCCUGCUGCUGCAAGAUUCUCUUCCUGAGUCCAUUCCACUCUCUUACCUGGGUCUCACCCACUAACAUUCACCUGGCAGAUUUGCUAGUAGCAGGUCUGGGGCUCACUCACUGGUCACAAGUGUAUUGUCUACAUGCAGGAUGCCCAUUAGCCAAAUCACAGACUGCUGUGAGACUCGAGACUUGAAGUCCAGAUGCAUCUCUGCAUUCGUGUGUGUGUGUGUGUGUGUGUGUGUGUGUGUGUGUGUGUGUGCACCUUGCUUAGGUGUGAGGACCUAUGCUGUGAUGGGGGUCAUCACUGUGGAGGCAGAAAUGCUUUUUUAAAAUCAGUUUCCCUAGACAGUAAGAGAGCUCAGCCAUGCCUCCCUUGUCCCCCUGUCCUUCAUGAGUGAGAUUCUUUGACUCCUUUGUACCUCCAGGCCCUCAAGCUGGUCCAUCUUAGUCUAGUGCCUUACUGGGCUUGCUCAUGGCUUGGUUUCAUUCUCAGGAAAUCAGGCAGAGAGAAAAAGCAACUAGAUACAAUUUUUUCAUCCUGAAUUGAGACGACAAAAUGUGUAUCCGUUCUGGUAAUAGACAUAUGCACCGCCAUGCCCUUUGUGCACACGGUGGCCGGUACAUUCCAGACUGUCUGCUUCUUCGUAAGCGCCUUUUGUUUGUUUGUAGGUGUGGAGGCAUCAACCCAGGUUCCGGUUUCGAGACCUGCAUUUCCUGUUGCCUCUCAUGCUGUUGGUGUGGCUUUGUCGUGGCUUAGCAGUGAGCCUGUCUGACCUGCGCCACUUCUCUUGGCCCUCACUACUCCUGCUUUUAGGUCCCUGUGUUUCAGGCUUGCAUCCUUGACAUUCUUGUGGGGCUUCUUUCCCCAUCCCUUACCUUUAUAUCUCAUAAGUUGCUGCGUCUUUAACCAUUUCCUGAUCUCACCCUCCACCCCAUCCCGUGCCUUCCUCUUUUAAAAUCUCUGUGUGUAUGUGUCCCUGUGUGCUUGUGUGUGCCCAUGUAUGUGUCCAUGCCUGUGUGCAUGCCUGGAUACUGUGAAUGUAGCUGCAGACAGAUCAGGGCACUUGUGAGCUCAGAGGUUAAUCGUGGUGCAGGGCUUCAUCUUCCAUCUUGUUUCUCACUGCUUAUGCCAGGCUAGCUAGCUUUCGGGGACUCUUCUGUCUCUGUCCUCACAUGUCCUGGUAGGAGUGCUCGAAUUAUAGACAUGCUGCCCAGCUUCUGUCUUGCUUUUUCACCUGCCAUGACACUCGAAUAAUUGCUAUUACUUAGCUGGUUACCCGCUUCGAGUCAAUCACCCUGAGAUGUUGGUCUUCAUCCCCAACUUGACUAGAUUUAGAAUCACGUAGGAGGUACACAUCUAAGCACAUCUGUGGUGUUUUCAGAUAAAUUCAACUGUGUAAGGAAGAUCCAGUUACAUGUGGGCAACGGCAGCCAAUGGGCUGGGGCCUGAGAAUCAGCAUUCAUCCGUUUCUUGACUGUGUGACAGCCUGAAUCCAACCUCAGUGUGCCUCUGUCAGAUUAACAGGAUAGCUGGAAGUCCCGCUGGCCAUCGGACACUCGUUCAUUAGGUGCUAACUAUGUGUCAGGCACUGGGUACUGGGAUGCGAUGGUGAACAAGACAGCCACAGACCAGCUCUCCUUGGAAACUGAGCUCAGAGGUGGAAACCAACCUAAAUAAACGAACUUGCCAGCCAGUGGGUAGAUGAGGCUGAACCAAUACAUACUGGGUCUGCAUGUGGAAGAAUGAGGCUUGCAGCCAACGGCCGUCCACAUCUCUGAUGAGGAUCAGCACCUCAACUGUCAACUGAUGAAUCUGAGCUCAUUUGCUGAAGGGAUAAACCAACCAGUGAAUCUCAACUCCAUCCUUCUACCACUCGGGCCUUAACUCUAGUGCCAGACAAGAGAAAGGGAAAAAUUCUUGGAACCUCUAGAGCUAGCCACACUUGAAAAAGAGAAGAGCUAGAUGUCUUUUGAACCAUCCUGUCUGCUUGACCAGUAGGACUGCUCUGUAUCAGUGCCUAAGUCCCUCCCUAUGGGGUCUCCUUCUUGUCUUAGAGUCAGUUGAGGGGAGCCCCCAAUGCCUUUCUCCCUGUUGCUCAUGAAGGACACUACUGGUUGACCACAGCUCUUUCCCAUGCUGCUCUGGACAGCAGUCACAUCUUUGCCAUUAUGGAACUAGCUAGCAAUCAUGCCUCAUGCUGUCACCUGUAAGAAGGGAGAGUAUUUACUCCCAUAGCCCAUGAGCAGUGUCUACAGCUGUGGACUGUCCAGAGACUAGAUAACCAGUGAUUCAGAAGCCUGGCUGCAGAUCUGGUCGCUUGAAUAAAAAUGCCCCACGUGCCUAGAGGGGGUGGCACUAUUAGGAGGUGUGACCUUAUUGGGAUAGGUGUGGCCUUGCUGGAGGAACUUUGUCCUUGUGGGGACAAGCUUUGAUAUCUCAGAAGCUCAAGUCAGUUCACUUCCACUGCCUGUGGAUCAAGAUGUAGAACUCUCAGCUCCAUCUUCAGCACCAUGGCCGGACUGCUUCAUACUGCCGCGUUUCCCACCGUGAUGAUAAUAGACUAAACCUUUGAAACUGUAAGCCGGCCCCAAUUAAAUGUUUUCCUUUAUCAGAGUUGUCACGGUCACAGUCUCUCUUCAUAGCAAUAAAAAUCCUAACUAUGACACUUGGGAUGCUCUGCGAAUUGUAUCUCUGGGCCCCAGCAUUUAGCAUAUUCCUGUUCUUUCUCUAUGGUGCCAU